rnacentral:rRNA from 1 species
CACGUAGGGCGCGAGCGUUGUCCGGAAUUAUUGGGCGUAAAGAGCUCGUAGGCGGCCUGUUGCGUCCGCUGUGAAAGCCCGGGGCUUAACCCCGGGUCUGCAGUGGAUACGGGCAGGCUAGAGGUAGGUAGGGGAGAAUGGAAUUCCCGGUGUAGCGGUGAAAUGCGCAGAUAUCGGGAGGAACACCAAUGGCGAAGGCAGCUCGCUGGGACGGUACUGACGCUGAGACGCGAAAGCGUGGGGAGCAAACAGG